rnacentral:rRNA from 1 species
UAGGGAAUCUUCCGCAAUGGGCGAAAGCCUGACGGAGCAACGCCGCGUGAGUGAUGAAGGUCUUCGGAUCGUAAAACUCUGUUCUUAGGGAAGAACAAAUGUGUAAGUAACUAUGCACGUCUUGACGGUACCUAAUCAGAAAGCCACGGCUAACUACGUGCCAGCAGCCGCGGUAAUACGUAGGUGGCAAGCGUUAUCCGGAAUUAUUGGGCGUAAAGCGCGCGUAGGCGGUUUUUUAAGUCUGAUGUGAAAGCCCACGGCUCAACCGUGGAGGGUCAUGGGAAACUGGAAAACUAGAGUGCAGAAGAGGAAAGUGGAAUUCCAGGUGUAGCGGUGAAAUGCGCAGAGAUAUGGAGGAACACCAGUGGCGAAGGCGACUAUCUGGUCUGUAACUGACGCUGAUGUGCGAAAGCGGGGGGAUCAAACAGG